GGAGAGAGAGAGAGAGAGACUGAUGGGACAGAAAACGGAUCUCGAGCUCCCUCUGAAGUGAGGUCUAGUCUUCCUCAGCCACAGGAGUCGGACGUUGCCUCAGGCUGGUGGUGAGACACAGGCCCUCUGUUAAGCCAAGUUUAGACAAGAGCUCCAAGGCACAAAUGAGUAACCGUUGAUGAGUCAGCGUGUGCGAUACUUCCUCCAGCUUCACAGACCUGGGGGCCUGGCUCCAAGCCUCCUCUGCUCUCCAGGUGGAGGGUUUUUUUCCUUCGUGUAUUCAGGUUCUAAAUCUAUGGUCUGGUCUGGCAGGCAGAGGUGAGUCAGCGCCCCCUGCAAACAGCAGUCUGGCACCCUGCUGUCUCGUGGGCCUGCACUGGGGUGUGAAUUCACUUGGUGCCAUGAGAUGAAGAGACCUCAGAGGGCUUCUUAGCCUAGUCCUCUCUCAGAGGCUCAGGUCACUCACCACCAACCACGCUGUAGGAGGGAGGCUGGCUGGCCUGUGUGAUCUUCAGACAUUUUUUUUAUUCCCAACUGUGAAAGGAAAGACGGUGAGCAUAUUUAGCAGAUUAUGAGACGACUCUGGAACCAGAAUAUUCAGGUUUAUAUACAAAGUGUCCUCCACCCAGGGGCGUAAAUAAUCUAAUUAGCCGCUAAUACAUAAGUUGAACAAUCGCAAGUCUCAAAAGUACUCGGUGUUCUGUAUCACACCCGUUUUGAGACAGCCACUCCUGUUCCUCUCUGUAACACACACUUUAGGGAAAGGUGAGGGGGGGUCUCCUUUAUCAUUCACGCCAUGAGGUGCUUCAGGAGGGACAAUGAACACCUCUUGAAGGAUCCUUGUCUGUGGCUUCCCCCAACCUCUCUGCCUGGGCCUCCUGCCCCCACCCCACCCCCAAAGGUGGUGCCUACGGCCUUGUGUUCCCUGCACAAGUGCAUAGGCUGACCAGACAGACCAUUUUCCUCAUUGCCAUGCGUGUCUCUCCACCGUCGCCUCAGUGGAAACCCCCAGAGAGUAAGAAGCACAUGGACCCACCCACUUCUGACAGAUCUGUACAGAGGAUGUGAUCACAGUCAACUUGAAUCCCGGGAAACGGGUUGGGCUAACCUUGCUAAUGUACUAAACGGUGAUGUCCCCUGAGGGGACAGGCCAGGCACAAACAGGCCCUGUGCUAGUGUCUGUGCAGCUGGUGAAUGUUCAUUGGACGGUACAUCGUGCGUGCGGUGUUGUGCUCUACACUGGGGCCUAGAAGUACGAUGGCUGCCACAGGAGUGAGGGUUACACAGAGCGGGGAGACAUAAUAAACAGCCCCAAAGCAACUCAGACAGAACAGCUAUUCGGGUAAAGCAGGAUGUCCACCUGCAGAGGGUUGGGACAAUCGGUCUUCUUUAAAGUAAGUUCUGAAUAAUAAAAAGUGGGGAAAACAGAAAAGGCAAUAGUGAGAGAGGGAGGGAGGGAGGAGAGAGACAGAGAGAGAGAGAGAAAUAGAGAGAGACAGAGAGACAGAGAGACAGAGAGAGAGAGAGAGAGAGAGAGAGAGAGAGAGAGAGAGAGAGCACUGUCCCUGGAGCAGAAAUAAACCUGGCACAUUAAAGAAGCAGUGAGAGUCGGUGAGGGCGGGGGAGGAGGAGAUUGGAGAGCUGGCUGGGACCAGAUCCCACAGGUUACUGUAAGCGCACUGGCAGGCCACUGCUGUGCUCUGGGAAGGGGCCAGCUGAAACUGUUCUUGGAGGCACUUUGAGAAGUGCCCUUGCUAACCAGGCUCUGUUCUUCCUGUGUGGAGAUGCCCCUUUCUGCAUUCCAGGGAAGAGUGAUGCCUUUCCCAGGCACCUGGCCUGCUCAGCUGUCGAAGUGGGGGCUGUCUGGACCUUCAGGGGAGACAGAGAUCCUUGAAACAGAGAGGGUCUCCUUCCAAACAGAGUCACUCCCCGGGCCUUUGGAAACCCUGCACUUUGGAAUCAGCUUCUUGAAAUGUUCUAAGUUACUGCCCAUGCCAUCAGGACAGGGUACCCCAAGCCAAGCCUCAAAUGAGUCCUCAUCUCUUCACCAUGGACCAUCUUUGAGUUGUCACUGCCAUGAAAAGCUCUGGGCUGCGCUAGGCCCAGGCUGCACUGUCUGGACACCCAGGCGUCUCUCUCUGCUGCCUGAGCUCUGAUUGUGGCAUGUACUGCUCUUUGCUGGGCUCUGUCCCAAACUGUGCCUGAUCCUCCAAGGGUUCCAGAUCGCUGUUGCAUAAGGCCAACAAGCCAUUCCAACUUAUGAUGGAUGUCCCCUCUGGCUCAUGAUUGAUGUGCUGGCUUUGUGUCCACAUUCCUGGUUGAAAGAGAGGUCUCUUCACACCCAGCAGCUGCAGCCGCGCCUCUGAGCUCUAAACCUUGCCAAAGUGGCCCAGGAAGCUCAUGGCUUUUCUUCAUGCCUGCUCCUCCCUUCUAGUGCCUUCUCGUUUGUGUUUGUGAUGCCCAGCAUGAAACCUUCCAGAAAGGCAUGAUUGGUAGUGCCUGGAAUAUACCUUCUCUGAUAUGCAACGGCACAAUGGAAGGCUCAUGGAAGACCAAGCAAACGGCGACACCCGUGCUUGAAGGGCAGAAAUCACACCACGCUCAAGCAGAUCACCUGAGUAUUCCUAAUCCUUUCCAUUAUCGGGAUGGGUGGGUGCAAAAUUAAUGCCCCGACUAGGGAUGUUUGAAGACUGAAGACACGCUGGCGGAACCCCUGCCUGACCCUUGGGAUGGGUGUCGGUGCAGGGGACUGGCCCCAGGGUCUGAGUGUUCGCCCAAGAGCUAUAGCCCAAGGGGGGGGAGCACUUUUAACUAAGGACACAGUACACCAUCUGCAAAGGAGUCAAAAUGUUUUGAAAACCAUCAGCAAGCGUAACUACAUUCCGAAUUUAAAGGUGUUUGUAAGUCUGAGCUCUGCCAAAUACACAUUUAAUUUUC